rnacentral:rRNA from 1 species
UACGUAGGGGCCAAGCGUUGUCCGGAUUUAUUGGGCGUAAAGAGCUUGUAGGCGGUUUGUCGCGUCUGCUGUGAAAAUCCGGGGCUCAACCCCGGACUUGCAGUGGGUACGGGCAGACUGGAGUGUGGUAGGGGAGACUGGAAUUCCUGGUGUAGCGGUGGAAUGCGCAGAUAUCAGGAGGAACACCGAUGGCGAAGGCAGGUCUCUGGGCCACUACUGACGCUGAGAAGCGAAAGCAUGGGGAGCGAACAGG